rnacentral:tRNA from 1 species
GGGGAGGUGCCAGAGUGGCUGAAUGGGCUCGCCUGCUAAGUGAGUGUCGGGGUUUACUCGACCGCGGGUUCGAAUCCCGCUCUCCCCGCCA